AUGAUGCUCCUUUUCAACUCUACC
rnacentral:siRNA from 1 species